rfam:Triticum aestivum genome assembly, contig: Triticum_aestivum_CS42_TGACv1_scaffold_094679_2AL
AACAUACUCCCUCCGUCCGAAAAUAUUUAUCAUCAAAAUGAUAAAUAGGGAUGUAUCUAGAUGUAUUUUAGUUCUAUAUACAUUCUUUUUUGUCCAUUUUGAUGACAAGUAUUUUCGGACGGAGGGAGUAUAUG